GGCCCCCUAUGCUUAUUAUAGUCUGUGUUUUUACACUGACUGUAUAGAUAAAGGAGGUACAGUAAAUUCACCCUAUAUACACCUCAGCCCCGGUCCCUUGCCUGAUCUGUAUUGUGAAUGGGGGGACAUAA